rnacentral:rRNA from 1 species
UACGGGGGGGGGCAAGCGUUGUUCGGAAUUACUGGGCGUAAAGGGCUCGUAGGUGGCCAACUAAGUCAGACGUGAAAUCCCUCGGCUCAACCAAGGAAGUGCAUCCGAAACUGCUGAGCUUGAGUACUUAAGAGGAUCGCGGAAUUCCCGGUGUAGAGGUGAAAUUCGUAGAUAUCAAGCGGAACACCGGUGGCGAAGGCGGCCAUCUGGACCGCAACUGACGCUGAGGC